rnacentral:lncRNA from 1 species
AUGCACUUUACAAGUACAGACUGGUUUAACCCUCACCAUAUCCCUUGGAGGCUGGAGUGCAAUGGCGCCAUCUCGGCUCACCACAACCUCUGCCUCCCAGGUUCAAGUGAUUCUCCUUCCUCAGCCUCCCAAGUAGUUGGAAUUACAGGUAGGGCAUGGAAUGAUCGAUUCGCCUCUCUUUAUUAUGGAGACUUCCUCCUUCACACACAUGGAUGCCCACUGAACCCUUCUGAGGCCACUUGUCAAGUAAAAUGAGGCACUUGAAAACAACUGAAUGAACAACCUCCUCUUUUAAAAAUUUUAAUCGAUUGGUUCAUCUUGCCGUUGCUCUUGGUGGGUGACUUUCGCACUUGAAACACUCACCUUUUCUCCAUUAUGCCCUCUUACCUGCACAGGGUGGUUUUCCACCUCCUCCUUGUGGAGUGCAAUCGAUAUUCUGUUAUUCGCUGUCAUUUGGAUGUUACUCUGUGCAAACAGUAGUUUAAAAAAAAAAAAACAUCAGGAGCUCUGCUGUCUACACAAAUCAACAACAAUGAGAAACAAGAAGUGGAUUACUACGGAACGAAAUCCUUUUUGUUCUAAACUGUAAUCAACUAUAUUGGAUGCGAGGUUUGUCCAUUUUAAAAAUUUAAUAAUGGGUUUUGGUCCUCUUGUUUCUAUAAAAAGGGCAUUUAUAAAUAUUAAUAUGGAAUACCAGGGAAAGAACAAUACAUAACAAUAAUGAGAAUCACAAAAUCCCAUCACAUUUGAC